CAAGCCUCCUAUUUGAACCCAGCCACUACAGGCCAUCCUAACAGUGUCACGUAUGAAUAUGGGUAUAAAGAAUAGGGCUCUGUACUGGACUAAAAACUUGUUUCAGCCGCUGAACCGUGACAGGCUUCAUGUAGUGCAGUCUGAGUCGGGCCCAGCUCCAUGUACUCCUGCUUCUGCCUGUUGUAUGGAGGCCAGCUGACCAGCCCAGGACCAUUGGGAGAGCUGGGGAUGUAUAUGCAGAGAAGAUCAUUAGUAUAUGUUCCCUGCUCUUUCAUUCUGCAGAAAUAUCAUAAUUUCAUUUGUAAAAGGCAACUGCAUUCAUGUGUACCCUUGUGGGUUGCAUCCUUUAAAUAUUUCCUACUCCAACCAGCAAAUUUACUGCAGUCACUCACAGCUGAUACACAGCUGAUAUUAAUUAAACUGAUUACUUAUUGCAAUAAUUCCUGUCAAGCAUUUGGUUCUGGAAGCUGAUGUGCUGUAAGCAGAAAAGCUGAGAUAAGAUAUAUUUCUUAAUAUCCCAAAAGAAAAACCUCGAUAAAGUCAUGGUGGUAACAGAGAUCAAACCCAGGGCCUCAUUAGUGUUGUUAUAGACUUAACCUGUGACCUAUUUCCUCUGACAAACGUGCAACCAUUUGGUGUUGUAUUUGGGUCAGAUGCCAAACUGAAACUGACUCAUAAACCCAGACAGGCUGUUAGUAACAGCAAGCAGAUCUGUUGAGGCCAGUCAAGAGUUAUCUUUUCUGUUUCUUCUAUACCGUACAUCAUCAGUCCUGUAGCAGUUGCUACCAGUUGAUAGUCAACAUGUCAUGAAGGAAGUCAGCAGUACAGGGUCGGUAGUUUUGCAGUUUGCAGCCGUUUUUACUCACCCAGACCGGACAAAAUUAGCCCAGUAUGACAUCA